GUCUCACUCUGUUGCCCAAGCUGAAGUGCAGUGGUGUGAUCAUAGCCCCUGGGUUCAAGCCAUCCUCUUGAGUAGCUGGGAUUACAGGUGCACACCACCAUGCCUAGGUAAUUAAAAAAAAUUUUGUAUGUAGAAACAGGGUCUCAUGUAACUCCUGGGCUAAACGAUCCUCCCACUGUGGCCUCCUAAAGUGCGGGGGUUAUAGGUGUGAGCCUGAGCCGCUGCACCCAGCCUGUGUGGUCUGUUUUUAGUGUCUGUUGUUUCUGCUGGUUCAUGCUCCUGGCUCCUUAGUUUCUUGUGUGCUUGGCUGUCUGUGGCAGUGUGCAGCUCAUUAUGUUUGAAGAAUUAUUUGUAGGGGUUCCUAGAUGCCAAAGACGAGGUACCUUCCUCCAGAGAGGGUUUGCUUUUGCUUUUGCUUUUGCUAGGUGUCUUUGGGUCUGUUCAGCCUGAGAGUGACCAAGUUCACAGGAUGAAAUUCUGUGAAACUCCCAGGUAGCAAGUCAGUGUAGGGCUGUGUCGGGCUGAUCCAUGGUCAUGAUUUAUCAGGAGAGUGUUUUUUUUUUUUUUUACAUUAUUCUUCUGUAUUUUUUUGAGAGACAAGGUCUCACUCUGUCAUCCAGGCUGGAGUGCAGUGGUGCAAUCGUGGCUCACUGCAGCCUUGAACUCCU
rnacentral:lncRNA from 1 species